rnacentral:misc_RNA from 1 species
GACUCAAGCGACCGAUCGGCUGGACGAGUCCAGCGAACGCGCAGCUUGAGCACAACAGUCGGUCGUUUUAGCCACAAAUGGAACGAACGGGCAGACAACCCGAAACUCUUCGUGUGUUCCACAUCCCCGARCAAAGUGUUGCCCCAUUAACCACGCGCACGGUUUAAAAACCAAUGCCUGGCUUCACAAGACACACUAACGAGUUGCCCACAACCGAUUCUAAGACCGGCCGAGGGCAAAAAUAACAAAUGAUGUCGCUUGCCAAUUUGUUUCUAUGGUAAGCAACACAGGAAUACCGAAA